UUCUUUCUUUAUCUUUGAUGUUUUAUUGUAUGGGUCUUUCUCUAUCUUUGAUUUUAUUGUAUGGGUGUUGGGUUGAAAAUUGCCAAUUAGUUGGGUUGAAAAAACUCAUAGUAUACAAAUCGUAUCCGCAACCAAAACCGCAAGCCGUCAAUAAGUUUCUCUCUCUAAUCUGUAGUGUUUGAUUGCGUGGGUGUUGGGUUGAUGAAAAUUGCUUACUGGUUGGGUCUAUGGCUUCGAUUUGUCAAAGUUCAAUUCGCUGAAUGAGUAAAAUCUUUAUAUCUUUUCUAAUUUAGUAUUGACGAAUCUAUGGCAUUGAUUUUGAAUUAAACAAAAUUUUAAUUUUUAUAGCAUAUCUUUUUCAUAUGGAAUUAUUCUUACAGUUAUUUAACUUUAUUUUUCCUAUAUUCUGGAUCAAUAGUUCAUUAAUUUUUACAAAUAAAUCUUUUUCUUUCAAUGUAAGUCAUUUUAUAGAAGAUGCAUGUUAGUCAUCUAUGUAUUUUUCAUGGUUGUAUUGGUUGAUCAUUGGAUGUUUGAGUGGAUUCUUUGUGAUUUUUUUACUUAUAUUUUGUUGGUUGUAGCCUUGCAUUGCAAUAUGCUAAGGUGUUAUUAUCAUUGGACAAUUAUUUUUUCUGGUGCAUCAAUACCUCUUAUCUCUAGAACUAUCUAUAUCGCAAGGCUUUGUUUGUACGCAUGAAUCGCUACUUGUUUGUUUUUCACAGCUAGAGAUAAGGGGGAUGCUUCCUCCUAUUUCGCAUGUGACCUACUGAUCUGUUGGAGUUAAUCUGGUACUAGUAUAACUUAAUGCAGCUAGAUAAUUUCUUCAUUUUGGAAAAGGAACUAUGCAAACUAGAGGUCGCAAUCAACUGGUAAUUGAACAAAAUGAUGAUGAAUAUGUGCGACCUUAUAUUGAGCAAUUGAUGGAUGGUCAAACCUACUUUAGAGCCCAACCAUAUAUUGAGCAGUUGAUGGAUGAUCAGAACUACUCUUAAGCCCAAGCACACGAUGGUCAAUCUAAUGAGUCGAAUAGUUCUGCUGGUGGCACUGAGAUUCAACAUAAUGACGAUUCAGGUAAUUCGGAAGCAAGAAAGGUUCGUGGGCCUACUUUACUAAAAGAUAUUUGGAAACUUCCGUCGGGGAAGACCAUUGAUGUACCGUUUAAUAAUCGUAACCAAGCUAUUGGGAAAGAGGGUGGAAAGCUUGCUGGCUUUCUAGGAAUUAUUGCCAGAACUCCAGAACUAACACCUCUACAUGUAGAUGAUUGGAGAAAUUUUAACAAGGAGGAAAAGAAGAAAUUGGUGGGAAGGCGAUGUAUAUUCCCAGGUGUUGGGAAAUGAAAAUAGUGGGUAUAUUUGUGAUUUAGGACUUGGUCCAACUUCUUUUGUUCUAUGGGUUAGGUCUUCCUUGGGAAAUAUUAUUACAGAGGAUUCGUCUAAUGAGGUUAUACAAAUGUUAGAACGGGAGAUAAUUGAGCUAAAGGAGAAACAAAAUGGAGAAAUGAAUUUGAUGAAAGAAAAUCAGGAAAAGAUGCAAUUAGAAUUACUCCAAAUGAGACAACUCGUGCGCAAAUAUGCUCCUACUAUAUUUAUGCCUCAAAAUAGCAAUAGCACCUCAGCUGAACAGAUAACUUGAUUUCAUAAGCUUUAGAUAUUUUUAAUGAAAGUUUAAUUAUUUAAAAGUAUUGUUACCUAAAGUGUUAAUAUUUAUUAGAUCCCUGACGUCAACAGUGGACAUGAACGAGUACCACAAAUAUCAAGGAUACCUAGUGUUGCUGAAAAUACCCAACCUUCUCAUGGUACUACCCAUCUUUAUCCUUCGGCACUAUUGUUUGAGUUCUUUUUUUUUUAAUUAAUUUGUUCUAGUAUUUCGGCUUACCUUAGAUGCUUCUUGCUUUUAUAUAUUAUUUUUUUUUACUGUUGUUGAUGUCGUAAGGUUGUGAUAGUAGUGAAUCAUUUUAAAGAAAAUAUUUUUUCUGAUUGUGAUUAUAUGUGUAAUAUUAUUAUACCACAUAGUGAAAAAUAUAUUUAUUUAUUCUGUUAAAUGGA